UAGGUGGCGAGCGUUGUCCGGAAUUACUGGGUGUAAAGGGCGCGUAGACGGGCAUGUAAGUCAGAUGUGAAAUACCGGGGCUCAACUCCGGGGCUGCAUUUGAAACUGCAAGUCUUGAGUGCAGGAGAGGGAAGCGGAAUUCCUAGUGUAGCGGUGAAAUGCGUAGAUAUUAGGAGGAACACCAGUGGCGAAGGCGGCUUUCUGGACUGUAACUGACGUUGAGGCGCGAAAGCGUGGGUAGCAAA
rnacentral:rRNA from 1 species